rnacentral:rRNA from 1 species
UACGUAGGGGGCUAGCGUUGUCCGGAAUCAUUGGGCGUAAAGCGCGUGUAGGCGGCCAUGUAGGUCCGUUGUGAAAACUCGAGGCUCAACCUCGAGACGCCGAUGGAACCAUGUGGCUAGAGUCCGGAAGAGGAGAGUGGAAUUCCUGGUGUAGCGGUGAAAUGCGCAGAGUAUCAGGAGGAACACCGAUGGCGAAGGCAGCUCGCUGGGACGGUACUGACGCUGAGACGCGAAAGCGUGGGGAGCGAACAGG